GAGUUUGAUCAUGGCUCAGAUUGAACGCUGGCGGCAUGCCUUACACAUGCAAGUCGAACGGUAUCAGGUCUUCGGAUGCUGACGAGUGGCGAACGGGUGAGUAAUACAUCGGAACGUGCCCGAUCGUGGGGAUAACGGAGCGAAAGCUUUGCUAAUACCGCAUACGAUCUACGGAUGAAAGCAGGGGACCGCAAGGCCUUGCGCGGACGGAGCGGCCGAUGGCAGAUUAGGUAGUUGGUGGGAUAAAAGCGUUACCAAGCCGACGAUCUGUAGCUGGUCUGAGAGGACGACCAGCCACACUGGGACUGAGACACGGCCCAGACUCUUACGGGAGGCAGCAGUGGGGAAUCUUGGACAAUGGGCGAAAGCCUGAUCCAGCCAUGCCGCGUGCAGGAUGAAGGCCUUCGGUUGUAAAC
rnacentral:rRNA from 1 species